AGCCCAGAGCCUGAAUCAGUGUGUGUGUUAGUGGAAGCGUCUGGAAAGGCGCGCGAUACAGGGUGACAGCCCCGUACACAAAAAUGCACAUGCUGUGAGCUCGAUGAGUAGGGCGGGACACGUGGUAUCCUGUCUGAAUAUGGGGGGACCAUCCUCCAAGGCUAAAUACUCCUGACUGACCGAUAGUGAACCAGUACCGUGAGGGAAAGGCGAAAAGAACCCCGGCGAGGGGAGUGAAAAAGAACCUGAAACCGUGUACGUACAAGCAGUGGGAGCCUCUUUAUGGGGUGACUGCGUACCUUUUGUAUAAUGGGUCAGCGACUUAUAUUCUGUAGCAAGGUUAACCGAAUAGGGGAGCCGAAGGGAAACCGAGUCUUAACUGGGCGUUAAGUUGCAGGGUAUAGACCCGAAACCCGGUGAUCUAGCCAUGGGCAGGUUGAAGGUUGGGUAACACUAACUGGAGGACCGAACCGACUAAUGUUGAAAAAUUAGCGGAUGACUUGUGGCUGGGGGUGAAAGGCCAAUCAAACCGGGAGAUAGCUGGUUCUCCCCGAAAGCUAUUUAGGUAGCGCCUCGUGAAUUCAUCUCCGGGGGUAGAGCACUGUUUCGGCAAGGGGGUCAUCCCGACUUACCAACCCGAUGCAAACUGCGAAUACCGGAGAAUGUUAUCACGGGAGACACACGGCGGGUGCUAACGUCCGUCGUGAAGAGGGAAACAACCCAGACCGCCAGCUAAGGUCCCAAAGUCAUGGUUAAGUGGGAAACGAUGUGGGAAGGCCCAGACAGCCAGGAUGUUGGCUUAGAAGCAGCCAUCAUUUAAAGAAAGCGUAAUAGCUCACUGGUCGAGUCGGCCUGCGCGGAAGAUGUAACGGGGCUAAACCAUGCACCGAAGCUGCGGCAGCGACGCUUAUGCGUUGUUGGGUAGGGGAGCGUUCUGUAAGCCUGCGAAGGUGUACUGUGAGGUAUGCUGGAGGUAUCAGAAGUGCGAAUGCUGACAUAAGUAACGAUAAAGCGGGUGAAAAGCCCGCUCGCCGGAAGACCAAGGGUUCCUGUCCAACGUUAAUCGGGGCAGGGUGAGUCGACCCCUAAGGCGAGGCCGAAAGGCGUAGUCGAUGGGAAACAGGUUAAUAUUCCUGUACUUGGUGUUACUGCGAAGGGGGGACGGAGAAGGCUAUGUUGGCCGGGCGACGGUUGUCCCGGUUUAAGCGUGUAGGCUGGUUUUCCAGGCAAAUCCGGAAAAUCAAGGCUGAGGCGUGAUGACGAGGCACUACGGUGCUGAAGCAACAAAUGCCCUGCUUCCAGGAAAAGCCUCUAAGCAUCAGGUAACAUCAAAUCGUACCCCAAACCGACACAGGUGGUCAGGUAGAGAAUACCAAGGCGCUUGAGAGAACUCGGGUGAAGGAACUAGGCAAAAUGGUGCCGUAACUUCGGGAGAAGGCACGCUGAUA
rnacentral:rRNA from 1 species